AGUGAGUGGCGGACGGGUGAGUAACACGUGGGUAACCUGCCCAAAAGUGGGGGAUAACAUUUGGAAACAAGUGCUAAUACCGCAUAACAACUACUUUCACAUGAUCGUAGUUUAAAAGAUGGCUCUGCUAUCGCUUUUGGAUGGACCCGCGGCGUAUUAGCUAGUUGGUGAGGUAAAGGCUCACCAAGGCAAUGAUACGUAGCCGACCUGAGAGGGUAAUCGGCCACAUUGGGACUGAGACACGGCCCAAACUCCUACGGGAGGCAGCAGUAGGGAAUCUUCCACAAUGGGCGAAAGCCUGAUGGAGCAAUGCCGCGUGAGUGAAGAAGGUUUUCGGAUCGUAAAACUCUGUUGUUGAAGAAGAACAUGCGUGAGAGUAACUGUUCACGUACUGACGGUAUUCAACCAGAAAGCCACGGCUAACUACGUGCCAGCAGCCGCGGUAAUACGUAGGUGGCAAGCGUUGUCCGGAUUUAUUGGGCGUAAAGAGAAUGUAGGCGGUUUAUUAAGUUUGAAGUGAAAGCCCUCGGCUCAACCGAGGAAGUGCUUCGAAAACUGGUAAACUUGAGUGCAGAAGAGGAAAGUGGAACUCCAUGUGUAGCGGUGGAAUGCGUAGAUAUAUGGAAGAACACCAGUGGCGAAGGCGGCUUUCUGGUCUGUAACUGACGCUGAGAUUCGAAAGCAUGGGUAGCAAACAGGAUUAGAUACCCUGGUAGUCCAUGCCGUAAACGAUGAGUGCUAAGUGUUGGAGGGUUUCCGCCCUUCAGUGCUGCAGCUAACGCAUUAAGCACUCCGCCUGGGGAGUACGAUCGCAAGAUUGAAACUCAAGGAAUUGACGGGGGCCCGCACAAGCGGUGGAGCAUGUGGUUUAAUUCGAAGCAACGCGAAGAACCUUACCAGGUCUUGACAUACCAUGAAAAGCUAAGAGAUUAGUCUUUCCCUUCGGGGACAUGGAUACAGGUGGUGCAUGGUUGUCGUCAGCUCGUGUCGUGAGAUGUUGGGUUAAGUCCCGCAACGAGCGCAACCCUUAUUAUCAGUUGCCAGCAUUCAGUUGGGCACUCUGGUGAGACUGCCGGUGACAAACCGGAGGAAGGUGGGGACGACGUCAAAUCAUCAUGCCCCUUAUGACCUGGGCUACACACGUGCUACAAUGGUCGGUACAACGUGCUGCGAACUCGCGAGGGCAAGCAAAUCACUUAAAACCGAUCUCAGUUCGGAUUGUAGGCUGCAACUCGCCUACAUGAAGCUGGAAUCGCUAGUAAUCGCGGAUCAGCAUGCCGCGGUGAAUACGUUCCCGGGCCUUGUACACACCGCCCGUCACACCAUGAGAGUUUGUAACACCCAAAGCCGGUGGGGUAACCCUUC
rnacentral:rRNA from 1 species